CUUGGAGAUACGUCUGCAAGCUUAAGAUGUCACCCUCCUCUCCAUUUGCAAAUCUUUUGAAGCCAGGAAUAUUUCUGCAUGAGGACUGAAGCACCUCCAGUUGUUUAGAGGAAAUGUUAUCGCACAACAGCGGACAAAACAGAUGAGCCGCUUUACAACAGGAUGCACGAAGGAAGCCUCCAAGGUGGGGAGCGCCACCUGCUGCGGGCGAUGCACCGAGCGACCCUUCAACGUCUGUUACAUCGGCAUCAUAACUGCAUUGAUGGGAAAUGAGUACCAAAGUUGUGGUAUUUUGUAACCUCAGCCUUCCGCCAGACAUUCCAGUAGGUAAAGAGCAGCUGAUCGCCACUGCCAGUCAGAAGAACAUCUUAACUGACACCACCUGAAGAUAUUAACUUUCUGUUUAAAAAGAUGAACGGCAAAAACUGAUCUGUUAAAAUGAC
rnacentral:lncRNA from 1 species